rnacentral:lncRNA from 1 species
GGGAGUUGCAAUGAGAUUAGUGGAAGAACAGCAUCUAGUAAAGAUGAGGUCAAGCGUAUUGCCUGCCUUGUGAGUAGGGGGGGAAGGUGAGAGGGUGAGGUCGAAAGAGGAGAGGAGUGGAAAGAAGGAGGCAGAGAGGAAUGAGUCGAAGGUAGACGUGGGGAGGUUAAAGUCACCCAGAACUGUGAGAGGUGAGCCAUCCUCAGGAAAGGAAGUUAUUACAAACAUGUUACACUAAACGUGCCCACUCUGGUCUAGGUACGUGCGCUGUAGCCAACAGCUUGCAGAUACAGUGUGGGUAGGCUACCUAUGUGAUUACACCAUUAUGGAUAAGAGAGAUAUUAAUUGUAUUUGUCAAACGUGUAGCCAAGCAUCGAUUAUCAUGUCACCAGAAUAAAACCCUCGAUAUUUAAAGGAGCAUCAAGCUCACCGAGUGCACAUUCACCAGCCUGUGAAGUUCAUCAAAAUGUAUUUAAUCUGUAGCUUACUGCAUGGUUUCCUGAGUCGUAGUCAGAGGACCACACAUUAUAUUAUCUUUAAGUCUCCCAAGUUAACUUUCGAUACGAUGGUUAUUAUUUCAAUAUUUGUGCAUAAAAGUGUUUCCAAUGCCAUUUCUUGCAUAAUUAAUUUUACAGACACAAAAAAGAUCACACCAUGUCGAACGAACAAAAUAUCUGUCGGCAUUUAUAAAAUUGUACCGGCAUUAUGCUGUUUCCGUCAGCCUCUUUUUUUAAAAAAUGCGUCAGGUUAUUCAUCCGCAUGAAAUGGCUGGAUGGAAACCCUGAUCUCAACCCCUCCUUCACCUAAUCCACAGAUAUCCAUCUGUCUUCCCUAUAUCAAUUUGUGAAUUUACGUAGCAGGUUAAGUGAAUUUACGUAGCAGGUUUGGUGAAUUUACGUAGCAGGUUAGGUGAAUUUACGUAGCAGGUUAGGUGAAUUUACGUAGCAGGUUAGGUGAAUUUACGUAGCAGGUUAGGUGAAUUUACGUAGCAGGUUAGGUGAAUUUACGUAGCAGGUUAUGUGAAUUUACGUAGCAGGUUAGGUGAAUUUACGUAGCAGGUUAAGUGAAUUUACGUAGCAGGUUAAGUGAAUUUAUGUAGUAGGUUAGGUGAAUUUACGUAGCAGGUUAAGUGAAUUUACGUAGCAGGUUUGGUGAAUUUACGUAGCAGGUUAGGUGAAUUUACGUAGCAGGUUAGGUGAAUUUACGUAGCAGGUUAAGUGAAUUUAUGUAGCAGGUUAGGUGAAUUUACGUAGCAGGUUAGGUGAAUUUACGUAGCAGGUUAGGUGAAUUUACGUAGUAGGUUAGGUGAAUUUACGUAGCAGGUUAAGUGAAUUUACGUAGUAGGUUAGGUGAAUUUACGUAGCAGGUUAAGUGAAUUUACGUAGCAGGUUAGGUGAAUUUACGUAGCAGGUUAGGUGAAUUUACGUAGCAGGUUAGGUGAAUUUACGUAGCAGGUUAAGUGAAUUUACGUAGCAGGUUAGGUGAAUUUACGUAGCAGGUUAGGUGAAUUUACGUAGCAGGUUAGGUGAAUUUUGGUUAAGUUCAGAAUAAGGGUUAGCUGAAAAAUUAUAAAGUUUUCCAUGACGUGACUCGAACACGCAACCUUUGUAUUGCUAGACUGUCGCGGAUUACGCCCAACCAUCCUCCCUUCUUUAUUUCUGUCUCAAGUAACUAGACCAGUAAGUAUCAUAAGUCUUGGAGGUGCUCAGAAAUACAUAAAGUAUGUUUUGUAUGGCUCUGAGUCCAGGCUGUUGUGUCACAUUGUGCCAAUCAUGCUUUAUAAAAGGAGAGAGCGCAGAGCUCCUCCAUAGGGACUCCUCCACCCUCCUCUCACAUCCCUUGAUAAUGUAUCUGCAUCUCUCCCUGAAGGCCAGAGCUCGUAGUGUGACCUUGUCCUUGCGUCGGGAAGGUCGUCCCGUCUAGAGAGUAGAAAAAGCUGCAUCCCAAAUAGAACCCUAGUCCUUCUAUUGUGCAUUGUUCCCCACAGGGAUGGUCAAAAGUAGUGCACUAUAUAGGGGAAUAGUCCCCCACAGGGCUGGUCAACAGUAGUGCACUAUAUAGGGGAAUAGUCCCCCACAGGGCUGGUCAACAGUAGUGCACUAUAUAGGGGAAUAGUCCCCCACAGGGCUGGUCAAAAGUAGUGCACUAUAUAGGGGAAUAGUCCCCCACAGGGCUGGUCAAAAGUAGUGCACUAUAUAGGGGAAUAGUCCCCCACAUGGCUGGUCAACAGUAGUGCACUAUAUAGGGGAAUAGUCCCACACAGGGCUGGUCAACAGUAGUGCCCUAUAUAGGGGAAUAGGGUGUCAUUGAGGGGCUUCUUUGGAUCCUGAAUGGGACAUUUCUUCUCCAACACCCUUUUAAUGUCAUCACUAAAAUACGAGGUCAUUAGGAGAUAUUAAAACACUGCUGACAAACUCAUUAACGUGAGACAUUAAACGGGGCGGCGGUUGAUUAAUCCGCUUUAACGAUUCUUUUUAAGUGGUUCUGCUUAAAAUUAAUACAGAUUUACUGGUGGAGCUAAUUCUAACUGAGGGCAAAACAGUAACACUGGGUGAAGGGUAGGGUGAAAGUCUGUGGCCAUGAGCCCCCCGCCGUCCUUCCCUCUAUCUCAGCUGAACUUGAAAGGCUCAAGGGGAAAAACCAAAAGGAUUCCAAAACCGUCACAACGCUCCUAUAAUUUGUUCACGGUUCAGACUUUUGUGAUGGUCAUAAAAAAAAAUAGGCCUAUUAUAAAGAAAUUCAGGCGUCAUGCCCAUUGGUGUGCCCCCUCAGAUUUGUCCUGUUAAAUGUUUUGUUGUCGUUUCUUUGUAAUACUAAUAGCCACUUAACAAUUUUAUGAAGUUGUUUUUACCCAGAUUUUAGCAGAGAUGCAGGAAAGCAUAUUUAGUUUCUAAACAAAAACAAAAAAACACCAGUUAGGAGGAAUCAGACAGCUCAAGAUGUAUACUUAGAUAUACAGAAAAAUAAAAAUG